rnacentral:rRNA from 1 species
UACGUAGGGUGCAAGCGUUGUCCGGAAUUAUUGGGCGUAAGGGUGCGUAGGCGGCCUUGUAAGUCAGUGGUGAAAUACUCUAGCUUAACUAGAGGGGUGCCAAUGAUACUGCAGGGCUUGAGUACAGAUGAGGUAGGCGGAAUUGACGGUGUAGCGGUGAAAUGCGUAGAUAUCGGGAGAACAUCAGUGGCGAAGGCGGCCCUCUGGUCCAGUACUGACACUCAAGUGCGAAAGCGUGGGGAGCAAACAGG